AUUGAACGCUGGCGGCAUGCCUUACACGUGCAAGUCGAACGGUAACAGGUUAAGCUGACGAGUGGCGAACGGGUGAGUAAUGUAUCGGAACGUGCCCAGUCGUGGGGGAUAACUGCUCGAAAGAGCAGCUAAUACCGCAUACGACCUGAGGGUGAAAGCGGGGGAUCGCAAGACCUCGCGCGAUUGGAGCGGCCGAUAUCAGAUUAGGUAGUUGGUGAGGUAAAGGCUCACCAAGCCGACGAUCUGUAGCUGGUCUGAGAGGACGACCAGCCACACUGGGACUGAGACACGGCCCAGACUCCUACGGGAGGCAGCGGUGGGGAAUUUUGGACAAUGGGCGCAAGCCUGAUCCAGCCAUGCCGCGUGCGGGAAGAAGGCCUUCGGGUUGUAAACCGCUUUUGUCAGGGAAGAAAAGGUUCUGGCUAAUACCUGGGACUCAUGACGGUACCUGAAGAAUAAGCACCGGCUAACUACGUGCCAGCCGCCGCCGUAAGAC
rnacentral:rRNA from 1 species